ACGUAGGUGGCAAGCGUUGUCCGGAUUUAUUGGGUUUAAAGGGUGCGUAGGCGGUAGCCUAAGUCAGCAGUGAAAUACGGCAGCUUAACUGUCGAGGUGCUGUUGAUACUGGGUUACUUGAGUACUGAUGAGGUAGGCGGAAUGGACGGUGUAGCGGUGAAAUGCUUAGAGAUCGUCCAGAACACCGAUAGCGAAGGCAGCUUACUAAGGAGUAACUGACGCUGAGGCACGAAAGUGUGGGGAUCAAACAGGAUUAGAUACCCUGGUAGUCCACACUGUAAACGAUGAUUACUCGAUGUGUGCGAUACACAGCACGCGUCUUAGCAAAAGCGAUAAGUAAUCCACCUGGGGAGUACGCCGGCAACGGUG
rnacentral:rRNA from 1 species